UACGUAGGGUGCAAGCGUUGUCCGGAAUUAUUGGGCGUAAAGAGCGUGUAGGCGGUCCGGUAAGUCCGCUGUGAAAGUCGGGGGCUCAACCCUCGAAUGCCGGUGGAUACUGUCGGGCUAGAGUGCGGAAGAGGCGAGUGGAAUUCCUGGUGUAGCGGUGAAAUGCGCAGAUAUCAGGAGGAACACCUAUUGCGAAGGCAGCUCGCUGGGACGCAACUGACGCUGAGACGCGAAAGCGUGGGGAGCAAACAGG
rnacentral:rRNA from 1 species